AAAUAUUUGAUUAAAUAAAAACAUUCUUUCAAAGAAACUUUUAGAAAGGUUUGGCCAAAAAAAAAAAAGUUUUUUUUUUUUUUUCAGAAAGGUAGUACUUAAUUAAAUUGUAUAAUCUCAAGUAAAUAUUGAGAGUAAUGUUUAAAGAAAGCGACAUAAGUUGAUCCAACAUCAUUUUGUGACAUAUUUUAUGAACAAAAUUAUGUAACAGUUUUCUUUUUCCUGCUAAUCAAUGGGGAGUACGGAAACGGAACUGAAACUUACUUUUAAUAUUGGAAAAAAAUAUCACUAGGCUUUUUUUAAUUUAACAAUUCAUUACAACAUGAUAAAAAAACGGCUACAAUUAUUUUAUUUCUGUUUUAUUUUUUAUUUUUUAUCAAUUAAACAAAAGAAAUUAAUUUUUUGACCCAAAAAAAAAUUAAAAAAAUUAAUUUCAUUAAGAAAAUAUCAAAGUUACAUCAACCAUGUCAACAAUACUACUCAAAUCACCAAAUUAAGCCAAACCCACAAGCCUAAACAAUACAACUCAACUCACGGAAAUCAUUGUUGAAUAAUGGGUGGAUCAACAUUUGAGGAAAACAUGGUAUCUAACGUAUAUUUUACGCAUAGUAGCAACUAGCUAAUAAAGGUGAAGAUGGCAAAAAAUACCUAAAGUAGAUAGCAACAAACUCCUCCAGAACUAGUUAUAAUGUAGAGAAAACAAUAAUUUGAGAGUGUUAUAUAAAUGUAUGGAAGGUGGAUGACCACCAUAAUGUCCACAACCUCUCCUAUCUUAAUGUUUAGUAGAGCAUGCUCUAAUUAGAGUGUAUUAGUAGUUUGUAACUUAUGGGUUAACCUCAUCAUUGUAAGCUUAUAAAUAGGUGCUUAAUUUAUCAAAGAUGAUAUAUACACAAGUUUGGAAAACAAUUUACAUUUCCUUUAUCUACUCUCUCUCCUUCUCAUUUCCCUCUACAAUUUUCUCUUUAUAAGUUUUUGAGAGAGUGAUUGCAUUGAUCAUUGAAUAAGGAGCACAUUCGAAAUUAUGAUAGAGUACAUUCUAAAACCUGAGUAUAACUCAGACGGAAUCAUCACAAAAGACUAACUUAUAGGAGGAGGAGAAAGUAUGGAAUGGGGAGGAGGAUUCUUUUUGCUCCUCCUCUCCUUGGUGGCUAUGGUUUCUUUUUCGGAUACUUUGGAUACGGUCCCUAAUCCUUAACAUUCUUUGAUUAAAACUUUAAUGGUAUUCAAAGUUUGAUCAAAGUCCCUUGACUUUGUACACCUCAUUAUAUUACUAUUAAUAUUAAUAUUUUUAUAGUUUUGACAUUAAUUGUUUGAUAUUUUAUGAGAUUUAUAAUCCUAUAAAUUUAAAAUCCCUCAUUAUAAUACUAUUAGAAACGGUUACAAUAAAAGAAUUCAAACAUUUUGAUUGAAUAAAUGGAUAAAAACUAUGUAAAAAUAAGAAAUAAUAAUGGCAAAAGAAUGUAUCCAUAGUGUUAAAAGAAUUGGUACAUUUUACAAACAAAUUGGUACAUUUCACAUAUGUACAUUAAUAAAGAAGAAUGGGUACAUUAUAAAUAAAUUAGGGUACAUAUAAAAGAUUAAAAAAUUAUGAGUACAAAUAAAUUUUAAAAAAUAUAGGCCCUAAAAGAAAUUAAUACAUGGGUACAAAAUAAAACUAAAAAUAAAAUACUACAAAUUAAAAAAAAAAUUGCAAAUUAAAAGUGGGUACAAACUAAAAAUAUAAAUAUAUGAUACAAAGUUUAGACAUAAACAUAAAACAUAAAUAUACCAUAUGUAAUUUUUCUAUCAUGGAUUAAACAUACAAUGUCGAGUGAUGGUAU
rnacentral:lncRNA from 1 species